GCGCCCAAACUCUCUCGCUCUCUUCUCGCCCAAGCUCUCUCUCUCUCUCUCUCUCUCUCUCUCUCUCUCUCGCCCAAGCUCCGCAGCGCCUCGAACAAGACACAGUCGAGGUCCGAAAAGAUCGAGAAAAAGGCGCCAGUUGUCUCUCAUGCUCAUCGAUUGUGUUGAUCUUUCAUUUAAUUUGGUUUUCAGUGUUUGUGAUUUCCGGCCAAAGGUCGACUAGAUCUCUCUCCUCUCCAUAAACUCCUCUUUCGCUCCGGUUCGUUCUCUCUCUCCCUCUCGUUCCAUUUUGUUUUGGUGCUCCUUUAAUUUUGUGAAUUGCUACAGAGUUUUGAUGGGUUUAGGUUAAUGUUGAUGUUUAGGUUCAUAAUUGAACAAUGUUAGUCUUAGUUGAUGUUUAGGUUCGUUUCCAAUUUGGUGCUCGUAGAUCUUCCGGUUUUGGUCCAUUUCUUCACUCACUGUGCGGCAUGUUUCAUGUUCAAACCCUAAUCCAUCUCCCCUCCGCUUUCUUCACACCCUUUUCCGAUCAGGUAUAUAUGUGCUUAAUAUGAUUUGUUGCAAGUUUUCUUCUUUAAUUUUUUGAGUGGCUUUCAACUAGCAUUAAUUGGUUUUUAUGUAUCUUUCUUCUCUCUGCAUCUGCCAUAGCCUGUUUAGGAUGAUUUGCUUUCCAUGCCUACAAACCAUUACGCUUCGGAGGCUACGGUCUAUUAUACUCCUCAAACUCCAAACCUAACCUUUAAUGGAUUCCUUUUACAGGUGCAAAAUGGGCUGACUGCAAUCUGUUUUUAUGGAAUUUAUUUUCUUGGCCACUAGCAGGUGCAAUACUGCUGCAACACUGGAGCUUUCUCAAGCAGAACAUGAGGAGCGGAAAGCAAGGGCCUUAGCUGCAGCUGCCACGGAGUUGGGAAGACUUCUCAGAAAGGAAGAUUUUGGUAGAAUGAAGCCGAGCAUUAUGGGACAAGAGAUCAGUCAAGAAGUCAAUGGUGAUGCACAGAUUGCAAGGACUCAGGAGUUAUGUGUUCAAAAUUAUGGGAGGCUGUGACAAGAAAUUGUUUCCUUUGAAGCAAGGAGUGUUAACCCCAGGGUGUGUUCGCCUUUUGCUCCAUGGGGGAGUCUCAUGCUUCCAAGGACAUGGAAGGAGGAAUAGUGAGCGAAGAAGGAAUAGUGGGUUUUGACUUGUUAAUUCACUUAAUGAAAUAAAGUAUUAAGGUGCUAGUUUUGAUCUACUAUCUGAGCAUUGAACUUUACUUAUUGUUGAGUUUUGCUUUUGUAGGUUUGCUUACAUGUAGAGUGAGUUGCAGACUUAGAUGGUGUACUGAGUUACCUUAGGCCUGCAAACCAGUGUGGUAACUUUACUGACCAUAGACUCAUUUUGUAGGUUGGUUAAUGAUAGCUAAACUAGGAGAACUAACCAGAAUACUUUUAUCAUGCUUAUAUUGUGUACAUAUUUUUAC